GAGGCACAGAAGCAUUUGACGUUUUAUGAACUUGAUUUAGGGCUUAAUCAUGUGUCUAGGAAGUGGUCUGAGCAGGUUGAUAAUGGGGCAAAUAUGCUCGUUACAGUGCCUGGAGGUGGGGAUGGACCAAGUGGAGUUUUGGUCUGUGCGGAGAAUUUUGUAAUUUAUAAGAAUGACGGUCACUCAGAUGUGAGAGCAGUGAUUCCGAGGCGCGCAGAUUUACCUGCUGAGCGAGGGGUUUUGGUAGUUUCUGCAGCUACACAUAAGCAAAAGUCCAUGUUUUUCUUUCUUUUGCAGACAGAGUACGGUGAUAUCUUCAAGGUUACAUUGGAUCAUGAGAAUGAUAAGGUGAAGGAAUUGAAAAUUAAGUAUUUUGAUACAAUUCCUGUUACUACUUCAAUGUGUGUGUUGAAAUCAGGGUUUUUGUUUGCUGCAUCAGAGUUUGGGAAUCAUGCACUGUAUCAAUUUCAGGCAAUUGGGGAGGAAGCUGAUGUGGAGGCCUCAUCAGCUACUUUAAUGGAAACUGAGGAAGGUUUCCAGCCUGUGUUUUUCCAGCCAAGAGGGUUGAAGAAUCUUGUUAGAAUUGACCAGGUUGAGAGCUUGAUGCCUAUUAUGGAUAUGAAGGUUGCUAAUCUUUUUGAUGAGGAAACCCCUCAGAUAUUUUCACUUUGUGGGCGUGGUCCUCGGUCUUCAUUGAGGAUAUUGAGGCCAGGUUUGGCCAUUAGUGAGAUGGCUGUUUCACAGCUUCCGGGUGUACCAAGUGCAGUCUGGACUGUGAAAAAGAAUGUUAAUGAUGAGUUUGA
rnacentral:misc_RNA from 1 species